AGGAUGUUUAGACAGAAUUCUGACCCUGUUAGAGGGCCGAGGAGAAGGAGGGUGCAAACACGGCAUGUAACAUUCAGAGUUGGCCUCAUCCUCGUUCCUGAUUUGGAAACAUUCCAUCCCCAAAAGGUGGAAGCUUUAAAAAAAAUCAGGUGCCAGUGUCUCUAUCGGCCGAGGAGUUCCUUGAUGUUCUGAAAACUUCUUUUCCAAGACUGGGCAGCACUGAUUUUGACUUGGCCAGGGUUGAUUGUCAUAAAAAAAUUUGAAGACUUAAUGUUUCACUACUUUCACAUCUGUGCUGAAAGCCAGUGGAGAGCUAAAUCGGUCAGCUCUGUAUCUACUCCCAAAGGAGCGUUUAGAAGGGCAGGCUGAAGAACGGCAAGAAGAGUGUCAUGA